rnacentral:tRNA from 1 species
GGGGUCGUGGCGCAGUCCGGCUAGCGCGCUUGCCUGUCAAGCAAGAGGCCGCGGGUUCAAGUCCCGUCGACCCCGCCA